ensembl:lncRNA
AUGAAACCCCCAAGGGGAUUUCAAGCUCUACUGAAUUCAGGGAUCUUCUUGACACAGGUGGUGGAGGAGCCAACAAGGAGAGGUGUGCUGCUGGACCUCGUACUAACAAACAAAGAAGGACUGGUGGAAGAUGUGAAGGUCGGGGGCUGCCUUGGCUGCAGUGACCAUGAGAUGGUGGAGUUCAGGAUCCUGCGAGGAGGCAGCAGGGCACCAAGUAGGAUCGCAACACUGGACUUCAGGAGAGCAAACUUUGGCCUCUUCAGGGACCUACUUGGAGGAAUCCCAUGGGUGAGGGCCCUAGAAGGAAGGAGUGUUCAAGAGAGCUGGUUAAUAUUCAAACAUCACUUCCUCCAGGCUCAAGAGCGGUGCAUCCCUAUGAGUAGGAAGUCAAGCAAAGGAGGCAGGAGACCUGCAUGGAUGAGCAAGGAGCUCCUGGCAAAACUCAACCAGAAGAAGGAAGUAUACAGAAAGUGGAAAGGGGGACAGGCCACUUGGGAGGAAUAUAGGAACGUUGUCAGAGUAUGCAGGGAUGCGACAAGGAAGGCUAAGGCCCGUUUGGAAUUAAAUCUGGCGAGAGAUGUCAAGGACAGCAAGAAGGGCUUCUUCAAAUACAUCAGUAGCAAGAGGAAGACUAGGGAAAAUGUGGGCCCUUUGCUGAAUGGGGUGGGUGCCCUGGUGACAAAGGAUGCAGAGAAGGCAGAGUUACUGAAUGCCUUCUUUGCUUCAGUCUUUACUGCUCAGGCCAGCCCUCAGGAACCCCAGAUCCUGGAGGCAAGAGAGAAAGUCUGGAGAGAGGAAGACUUUCCCUUGGUGGAGGAGGAUUGGGUUAGAGAUCAUUUAAGCAAACUUGACACCCACAAAUCCAUGGGCCCUGAUGGGAUGCACCCACGAGUGCUGAGGGAGCUGGUGGACAUUAUUGCUAAGCCACUCUCCAUCAUCUUUGAAAGGUCMUGGAGAACAGGAGAGGUGCCUGAGGACUGGAAGAAAGCCAAUGUCACCCCASUCUUCAAAAAGGGCAAGAAGGAGGACCCAGGGAACUACAGGCCAGUCAGUCUCACCUCCAUCCCUGGAAAGGUGAUGGAGCAGCUCAUCCUGGAAGCCAUCUCCAAGCAUGUGGAGGAAAAGAAGGUGAUCAGGAGUAGUCAGCAUGGCUUCACCAAGGGGAAAUCAUGCCUAACCAAUCUGAUAGCCUUCUGUGAUGGAAUGACUGGCUGGUAG